AUUGAACGCUGGCGGCAUGCUUUACACAUGCAAGUCGAACGGUAACAGGCCGUAAGGUGCUGACGAGUGGCGAACGGGUGAGUAAUGCAUCGGAACGUGCCCAGUCGUGGGGGAUAACGCAGCGAAAGCUGUGCUAAUACCGCAUACGAUCUAUGGAUGAAAGCGGGGGACCGUAAGGCCUCGCGCGAUUGGAGCGGCCGAUGUCAGAUUAGGUAGUUGGUGGGGUAAAGGCCUACCAAGCCAACGAUCUGUAGCUGGUCUGGGAGGACGACCAGCCACACUGGGACUGUGACACGGCCCAGACUCCUACGGGAGGCAGCAGUGGGGAAUUUUGGACGAUGGGCGCAAGCCUGAUCCAGCAAUGCCGCGUGCAGGAAGAAGGCCUUCGGGUUGUAAACUGCUUUUGUACGGAACGAAAAGGCUCUGGAUAAUACCUGGGGCUCAUGACGGUACCGUAAGAAUAAGCACCGGCUAACUACGUGCCAGCAGCCGCGGUAAAAC
rnacentral:rRNA from 1 species